GAACCAAUGGAUUUCCAAGUGAUGCGGCAACGAGGAAGACUGUGAGUACUUCUCCAUCCUCUUAUCAAAAGGUGUUUUUGUCUCUUUCCAUUUUACAGUAUACAUGAAGUCAACAUCAACCUCCUUAUCCUCUGUAAUAUCUACCAGGGCAUUAGGAUCAGUUCGUGCAUUGAUCUCAAUCACACGAUCAUCAUUGUAAAAGAUCUCAAAAUGAAGAUGUUUAAACAAGUAGUAUUUGUACUCGCUGGGGUCAGACUUUCCUUCCUUGUCAACUUUCCCUAAGAAACCCCAAAUGGGCAGGUCAUCGUAAUACAUUUGGAAGUAG
rnacentral:misc_RNA from 1 species